GUCUAGAUUACACAGUGAAGUUAAGAAUUUCUUGGUUACACAUCAAACACGUUCUGGGAUACCAACGUUAUCUAUGUGUGGACCGAGGCAAGGACUAGGGUCCUUAGUUUUCCUUCAGUCUCUAAGAUGCGGCUGGGGAUGUAGGCGCGAGUUACCGUUUAUCUCUUCAUGUGGCUGACUUCUCCAGCUGGCAUCUUCAGUCAUGAGGUGUGGGGUUGCAAAGUCAUUUUGACACAGGCUCAAGAUGGCCUGCACGGCUGCUUCACAGCACAGCAGGAUUUUUAUUACACUGACUUGAAGCCUAUGUAGUUUGCUGGCAAGAUUCAGCUGUUGGACCAGGGAGAGGGGUCCCAAAAGUUUGCUCAUAUGCCCUUUUUUCUUUUUAGAAAUACUGUAUAUGUUUGAAGCCUCACCCGUCUUCCUUCACUACCAGAAGUAGCCACAUUCCCAGGCCCCCGUGGGCAUCAUUUUCACAGAGCCCCGCCCUCACUCCAAGAGGCUAAACAGAAUACAGCCCGGGCCGCGUCGGCCUUGGCUGGGCUCCGGCCGCUGAAAACUUACUCAGCUCAGUGCUGUCGAUCAACAGCGAGGAGGGAAAGGCAAGGAGGUGCCCAAAGGCGAUUUCAGUUUCGUCUCCUCGCGGUGAGUCGUAGCCACCGGGGUCCGAUCGCCGAGAUGGGCGUGGCCGCGUGACGUCACAGAGCUGGCCCGUGGCCAGAACUCAAACUUUGAUGAAGGCGCCGGGGUCCAAGUCGGACGAGAAGCGUCCCUAGCGACAGCCAGAGACGGGGCUUCGGGGUCGCCGCACCCGAAUGCGAAUCGUUUUGGAAAUGAAUUCAGCCGUUGGUAGCUGCCAGUGGAGACUUGAGGCGCUCAGCAUCCGAUGGGUCGAGGAGGAGGCCAGUGUAUGUCUGUGGAGAGGCAUGAGGCUGAAGGUUUGGAGAACGUGUGUCCCUGGAGAGUAGGUAGGUUGCGUCUCAGAUGUUGACUGCUGGGAACAGACGAUGAUACCUUCAUCCAGCUGAUCCGAAUUCACUUCACUCCUUCAAGCCCGUGUCUUCCUCAAGGUUGACUCCAUGUUUUCUUGGCUAUUUCCUUUUGUGUUUCUUCUGCAGAAGUAAAAACAUCUCCAUUGCCCUAAGCUCUGAUCAGUGAAAACCAUUGCAUGUGUGUGUGUGUUUUAAAUCUUUUUGUGCUAUUUUCUUAUUUGGAGUGAUCUGUAUAACAUAGGUAUCAGUUGAUUUUAUCACUUAAUUUCUAAUUAUAAAUAUAUGUCCAUGGUGUAAAAUGAUUACACAUUUCCUUAAUGGCGGCAAUAGUGUCACAUCAGGUGCGUGAACUAGUGACAAGGUGACUAGAGUCACAUUAAAUGUGUACAUUAAUUCGGAUAACUUGACAUAUAUUCAGAUAUAGUUUUUUGCAACACCUUGGGAUUUUCUGCUUAUUCGGGUUUUCCCACCCAAGGCCAGGAUUUGUUGUGUCUUUUCGUGUAUGUCUCAGACAUUUCUGGUUAUACUUAUUCGUAGGUAGUUUAUACUCCUUUGCAAUUAGAAGUAGUGCCUUUUAGAAAAAUUCCCUACUUCUAAACUUUGCACUCUAAUGGAGCAAUUGAAUUGCUCUUGGUAUUACUGAAAGUGAAAGUUUCAGUGGAUUUCUUUACAUUUUCUAGGUGAGCAGUUUUAGUAUCUGCCAAUAAUUUUGGCUCAAGAGUGUGUGGCAUGAACAAAGCUGUCUUUUUAAGUGUUUUCCCCCCUCAGCCAUGUGCCUUGAACAAGUCUUUCCAGGGGAUGUUGUGAAAUUAAGUGAACUAAUGUAUCUAAACAUGUAUAGCAUCUACCAGGAUACAAAUUUCUAUGAACUGCUUUAUCUGCUUCUCACUAGUUUUGCUAUUUAAAAUUUUGUAUAUUAUUCAGUGUAUUAGUUUUCUAUUGCUGUGUGAUAAAUUACCACAAAGUUAGUGGUUUAGAACGGCACACAUUUGUCAUCUCACAGUUUGUAUAGGUCAGAGGUCCAGGCACAUUUCACCAGGGACUUCUGCUCUCAGUGUCACAAGGCUGUAAUCGUGAUGUCAGCCAGACUGCGUUCUCAUUUGGAGGCUCAGCUGGGGAAGAAUUUGCUUCCAAAGUCACUCAGGUUGUUGGGAGAGUUCCUUGCUGCGGGUCCUGGCUUUUUGAUGGCCAUCAGCUGGUAGGCCAACCUCAGGUCCUGGAGGCCUCCUAUAUUCCUCCUCACAUGGCCACCUCUGUGGGCAGUUCAGAACAUAGCUGUUUGCUUCUGAGAGACCAGCAAGACAGAAUCACAUUCCACUCUGCUAAGACAUGGUCUUCUAUAAUGUAACAUAAUCAUGGGAGUGAUGUCACAUCACCUUUGGUGUAUUCUGUUGGCUAGAAGUAAGUCACAAAUCCAGCCCACACUCAAGGGGAGAGGAUUAUACAGGUGUGACAACCGGAAACCAGAAAUCAUGGGGCCAUCUUAAAAUUCUGCCUACAUGUUAAGUUUAAAGUAUUUUCUAAUUUCCACUUUCUUCUUUGACUCGUAUGUUAUUUAAUGAGUUUAAUAAUUUUCAAAUAUAUGAGGAUUUUGCAGUUUUGUUUCUGUUAUUGAUUUUUAGCUUAAUUGCAUGACAUUUGGAGCACAUGCUUUGUAUUAUUUCAGUCCUUUGAAAUGAAUGGAGACUUGCCUUCUGACCAAAUAUAUGAUUGACUUUUGUAAAAGUUUCAUAUGUACUAGAAAAGUGUGUGUGUGUAUCUUCUGGAGUGCCGGCUCUGUUCAUGACCCUUAAGUCAUGUUUACUCUUCACAUUGCUAACGUAUUCUUCAUUCUUCUUAAUUUUUGGUCUGCUUUUAGUCUUUCAGUGAGGAAGAGAGAUAUAUUAAAUUUUCUUACCUAAAUGUGAAGUUUCAAUUUCUCCUUGUAGUUUUGUUGAUUUUUGUUUUACAUAUUUUAAAUUCAUGCAGUUAAUUGUUAGAUGGUUCUGGUGAGAACAUUUUAUCAUUAAGAAAUACUCCUCUAUUCUAUUAAUUAUUUUUUUCUCUUGAAGUCCUCUCUGUCCGUUAAUGUUUUCACAUUAUAUCUUUUACAGUCCUUUCAAUCUUUCUUUAUUCUUAUGUAUUAGAUGUAGAAAUAUUGAGAGGUUAAAAAUGGUUUUAUCUUCCCACAGAGAUUUUUUUCCUCUGCUUCUCCCAGGUGCUAAUGGUUGC
rnacentral:lncRNA from 1 species